UGAAAGGCAUGUAAAGGAAGGUGAAGUAUGUGAAUCAAAAAUGAAACUUUUCUUUGAUUCAAAGUGAAUCACCAAAUUUGGUUUGGAGGGAAGUUAACAAUUUGCCAACUUCUUUUUGAUCAUAUUUAGAAAGGAUUUGGAUUUCAAAUUAGAAUUUGUUUUGGCUCAGAUAAGUGAUUAUUCUAACAUGCAUUGUAGAGUCAUGAUGUUGAAUACAUUUUCAUUCAGCAUUUUCAUAUCUAUUGAAUGAUUUGAG
rnacentral:lncRNA from 1 species